GGGUUGUGAGGUUAAGCGACUAAGCGUACACGGUGGAUGCCCUGGCAGUCAGAGGCGAUGAAGGACGUGCUAAUCUGCGAUAAGCGUCGGUAAGGUGAUAUGAACCGUUAUAACCGGCGAUUUCCGAAUGGGGAAACCCAGUGUGUUUCGACACACUAUCAUUAACUGAAUCCAUAGGUUAAUGAGGCGAACCGGGGGAACUGAAACAUCUAAGUACCCCGAGGAAAAGAAAUCAACCGAGAUUCCCCCAGUAGCGGCGAGCGAACGGGGAGCAGCCCAGAGCCUGAAUCAGUGUGUGUGUUAGUGGAAGCGUCUGGAAAGGCGCGCGAUACAGGGUGACAGCCCCGUACACAAAAAUGCACAUGCUGUGAGCUCGAUGAGUAGGGCGGGACACGUGGUAUCCUGUCUGAAUAUGGGGGGACCAUCCUCCAAGGCUAAAUACUCCUGACUGACCGAUAGUGAACCAGUACCGUGAGGGAAAGGCGAAAAGAACCCCGGCGAGGGGAGUGAAAAAGAACCUGAAACCGUGUACGUACAAGCAGUGGGAGCACGCUUAGGCGUGUGACUGCGUACCUUUUGUAUAAUGGGUCAGCGACUUAUAUUCUGUAGCAAGGUUAACCGAAUAGGGGAGCCGAAGGGAAACCGAGUCUUAACUGGGCGUUAAGUUGCAGGGUAUAGACCCGAAACCCGGUGAUCUAGCCAUGGGCAGGUUGAAGGUUGGGUAACACUAACUGGAGGACCGAACCGACUAAUGUUGAAAAAUUAGCGGAUGACUUGUGGCUGGGGGUGAAAGGCCAAUCAAACCGGGAGAUAGCUGGUUCUCCCCGAAAGCUAUUUAGGUAGCGCCUCGUGAAUUCAUCUCCGGGGGUAGAGCACUGUUUCGGCAAGGGGGUCAUCCCGACUUACCAACCCGAUGCAAACUGCGAAUACCGGAGAAUGUUAUCACGGGAGACACACGGCGGGUGCUAACGUCCGUCGUGAAGAGGGAAACAACCCAGACCGCCAGCUAAGGUCCCAAAGUCAUGGUUAAGUGGGAAACGAUGUGGGAAGGCCCAGACAGCCAGGAUGUUGGCUUAGAAGCAGCCAUCAUUUAAAGAAAGCGUAAUAGCUCACUGGUCGAGUCGGCCUGCGCGGAAGAUGUAACGGGGCUAAACCAUGCACCGAAGCUGCGGCAGCGACGCUGAUGCGUUGUUGGGUAGGGGAGCGUUCUGUAAGCCUGCGAAGGUGUGCUGUGAGGCAUGCUGGAGGUAUCAGAAGUGCGAAUGCUGACAUAAGUAACGAUAAAGCGGGUGAAAAGCCCGCUCGCCGGAAGACCAAGGGUUCCUGUCCAACGUUAAUCGGGGCAGGGUGAGUCGACCCCUAAGGCGAGGCCGAAAGGCGUAGUCGAUGGGAAACAGGUUAAUAUUCCUGUACUUGGUGUUACUGCGAAGGGGGGACGGAGAAGGCUAUGUUGGCCGGGCGACGGUUGUCCCGGUUUAAGCGUGUAGGCUGGUUUUCCAGGCAAAUCCGGAAAAUCAAGGCUGAGGCGUGAUGACGAGGCACUACGGUGCUGAAGCAACAAAUGCCCUGCUUCCAGGAAAAGCCUCUAAGCAUCAGGUAACAUCAAAUCGUACCCCAAACCGACACAGGUGGUCAGGUAGAGAAUACCAAGGCGCUUGAGAGAACUCGGGUGAAGGAACUAGGCAAAAUGGUGCCGUAACUUCGGGAGAAGGCACGCUGAUAUGUAGGUGAGGUCCCUCGCGGAUGGAGCUGAAAUCAGUCGAAGAUACCAGCUGGCUGCAACUGUUUAUUAAAAACACAGCACUGUGCAAACACGAAAGUGGACGUAUACGGUGUGACGCCUGCCCGGUGCCGGAAGGUUAAUUGAUGGGGUUAGCGCAAGCGAAGCUCUUGAUCGAAGCCCCGGUAAACGGCGGCCGUAACUAUAACGGUCCUAAGGUAGCGAAAUUCCUUGUCGGGUAAGUUCCGACCUGCACGAAUGGCGUAAUGAUGGCCAGGCUGUCUCCACCCGAGACUCAGUGAAAUUGAACUCGCUGUGAAGAUGCAGUGUACCCGCGGCAAGACGGAAAGACCCCGUGAACCUUUACUAUAGCUUGACACUGAACAUUGAGCCUUGAUGUGUAGGAUAGGUGGGAGGCUUUGAAGUGUGGACGCCAGUCUGCAUGGAGCCGACCUUGAAAUACCACCCUUUAAUGUUUGAUGUUCUAACGUUGACCCGUAAUCCGGGUUGCGGACAGUGUCUGGUGGGUAGUUUGACUGGGGCGGUCUCCUCCUAAAGAGUAACGGAGGAGCACGAAGGUUGGCUAAUCCUGGUCGGACAUCAGGAGGUUAGUGCAAUGGCAUAAGCCAGCUUGACUGCGAGCGUGACGGCGCGAGCAGGUGCGAAAGCAGGUCAUAGUGAUCCGGUGGUUCUGAAUGGAAGGGCCAUCGCUCAACGGAUAAAAGGUACUCCGGGGAUAACAGGCUGAUACCGCCCAAGAGUUCAUAUCGACGGCGGUGUUUGGCACCUCGAUGUCGGCUCAUCACAUCCUGGGGCUGAAGUAGGUCCCAAGGGUAUGGCUGUUCGCCAUUUAAAGUGGUACGCGAGCUGGGUUUAGAACGUCGUGAGACAGUUCGGUCCCUAUCUGCCGUGGGCGCUGGAGAACUGAGGGGGGCUGCUCCUAGUACGAGAGGACCGGAGUGGACGCAUCACUGGUGUUCGGGUUGUCAUGCCAAUGGCACUGCCCGGUAGCUAAAUGCGGAAGAGAUAAGUGCUGAAAGCAUCUAAGCACGAAACUUGCCCCGAGAUGAGUUCUCCCUGACCCUUUAAGGGUCCUGAAGGAACGUUGAAGACGACGACGUUGAUAGGCCGGGUGUGUAAGCGCAGCGAUGCGUUGAGCUAACCGGUACUAAUGAACCGUGAGGCUUAACCUUACAACGCCGAAG
rnacentral:rRNA from 1 species